rnacentral:rRNA from 1 species
AGAGCGAACGCUGGCGGCAGGCCUAACACAUGCAAGUCGAGCGCCCCGCAAGGGGAGCGGCAGACGGGAGAGUAACACGUGGGAACGUACCCUUCAGUUCGGAACAACCCAGGGAAACUUGGGCUAAUACCGAAUACGUCCGUAAGGAGAAAGAUUUAUCGCUGAAGGAUUGGCCCGCGUUCGAUUAGCUAGUUGGUGAGGUAACGGCUCACCAAGGCGAUGAUCGAUAGCUGGUCUGAGAGGAUGAUCAGCCACAUUGGGACUGAGACACGGCCCAAACUCCUACGGGAGGCAGCAGUGGGGAAUAUUGGACAAUGGGCGCAAGCCUGAUCCAGCCAUGCCGCGUGAGUGAUGACGGCCUUAGGGUUGUAAAGCUCUUUCGCUCGGGACGAUAAUGACGGUACCGAGAUAAGAAGCCCCGGCUAACUUCGUGCCAGCAGCCGC